UACGUAGGGUGCGAGCGUUAAUCGGAAUUACUGGGCGUAAAGCGUGCGCAGGCGGUUCGUUGUGUCGGCGGUGAAAUCCCCGGGCUCAACCUGGGAAUGGCCGUUGAAACUGGCGAACUGGAGUGUGGCAGAGGGGGGUGGAAUUCCGCGUGUAGCAGUGAAAUGCGUAGAGAUGCGGAGGAACACCGGUGGCGAAGGCGGGUCUCUGGGCAGUAACUGACGCUGAGGAGCGAAAGCGUGGGGAGCGAACAGG
rnacentral:rRNA from 1 species